rnacentral:rRNA from 1 species
UUUUGCUUGCAAACUAAAGAUGGCGACCGGCGCACGGGUGAGUAACACGUAUCCAACCUGCCGAUAACUCGGGGAUAGCCUUUCGAAAGAAAGAUUAAUAUCCGAUAGUAUAUUAAAACCGCACGGUUUUACUAUUAAAGAAUUUCGGUUAUCGAUGGGGAUGCGUUCCAUUAGUUUGUUGGCGGGGUAACGGCCCACCAAGACUACGAUGGAUAGGGGUUCUGAGAGGAAGGUCCCCCACAUUGGAACUGAGACACGGUCCAA